GCCUGUUUGAUUACCGUCCUGUCUGUGAAGUGGCCGAGGUCUCUCUCCUGUCAAUGCCGGCUUCUCGCCGGGGCACAGUCUCCGCUCUGCGCACGGCGGCUGCCCGCAAACUCCCCGUGAGCAGAGGUCAAGAGACAAAGGAGCCUCUUUACUUGCCCAUCGUUAUCCUGAAAGGGCGUUGUAACAGGGCGGUAAGGUCGAACAAUGGUUAGCACUGCAGCGAUCUGGGUUCAAUUCCCACCACUGUCUCCCCUGUCACUCCAGGAGAAUCAAGCCCAGCCUCUUCCCGUGACGAAAGUCCUCAAAUCCAGCCAACAU